GAUGAAGAACGCAGCGAAAUGCGAUAAGUAAUGUGAAUUGCAGAAUUCCGUGAAUCAUCGAAUCUUUGAACGCACAUUGCGCCCCCUGGCAUUCCGGGGGGCAUGCCUGUCCGAGCGUCAUUUCCGCCCUCAAGCACGGCUUGUGUGUUGGGUGUGGUCCCCCCGGGGACCUGCCCGAAAGGCAGCGGCGACGUCCGUCUGGUCCUCGAGCGUAUGGGGCUCUGUCACUCGCUCGGGAAGGACCUGCGGGGGUUGGUCACCACUAUAUUUUACCACGGUUGACCUCGGAUCAGGUAGGAGUUACCCGCUGAACUUAAGCAUAUCAAUAAGCGGAGGA
rnacentral:misc_RNA from 1 species